rnacentral:lncRNA from 1 species
UUUUUUCUUUUUUUUCUUUUUGGCCACGGGGCAUGCAGUAACUUGAUAUGAGAUUCUCAGUUCUGAGAUCUCAGUUCCAAGACCAGGGGUUGAACCCGGAUCACGGCAGUGAAAGCACCAAAUUCUAACCACUAGGCAACCAGGAAACUCCCUCAAUUAUCUUUAAUUCUGCAUCUAAGCAGGGUCAGGUCCUGGGCAGGUUCAGUAAGCGUGGGGUGGAGAGACUUUCGUCAGAAGGGAAGGUUUCAGAACUGAGGUCAUGGAGGAGGUGGGAUUUUCAAGUGAGGGUGACGGCAGCACCUGGCACAUGGCAUAUCCUCUUCGUGGCUCUUUCCCAAGUGGUUUCAUACAUGAAAUCAUUCACUCCUCACAGCAGCCUGUGUGCGAGGCAGGUGUCAGUAUAACCCCAUCUUAAGGUGAGAAACAAUUGCUCUUGCCCAGUGAGCUAUGACGCUGCCGUCAGAGUAUGGAAGACCCCUGGGCUGCUGGGAGGCAGGACCACUAGAUGCCUUGGACGGGAGGUGAGGAGGCAGGUGCGAAGAGUAAACCUCAUCCAGGCAAUUGUCCUGCCAAUUACGAGUCUACCAUCCUUCCUAGUUCCUCCUUCGUUUCCGUUGCUGCAAAGCCCAGAGUUCAGGUCCUUCCACUUCUCCACGGCUUACGUAUUCUACUGAUGAAUGAGUGUCUUUAUUUUCUCUCAAUCUCUCCAAAGCAAUACACCCAUCUUAUAUUUUUACUUUAUUUAUUUAUUUACUUUUUUUUUUUCUUUUUAGGGCCACACCCACGGCAUAUGGAGCCUUCCCAGGGUGGGGUGGAUGCCACCUUCCACCCCAGCACGUUCAUUUCCUUGAACCGCUUCUGAUCUUGAACGCACUUCCUUUCCUGUGCUUAUCUCCUCCCACCUCCAUCUUUUAUUUAUUCAUACCUCUGACUCCCUCACAGUGGUGGGGCAUUUUCCUGCAUUUUCAACCACAAAUAAGUCUUGCAUUCAUAACCAGAAAAAAUAUAUCAAGACAAAGAGAAGCGUAGUAGAAAUAAAACCCCUGGAGCACUUCCUAUGUGUCAGGCACUGUCACAAUCGCUUUAUGUGUUAACUCGUGUAAUCCUCAGAACCAUUUUGGGAGGUAGGUACUAUCAUCGUCCCCACUUUUCUUCCCUUUUCUUCGGAAAGAAGUGAGGAAAGGGAGGAAGGAGGGGAAAUCUCCAGGCGCCGUAAGUGGUGCCGUGAGACUCAGGCAGCGGGUGACCUCCCGCAUCACGCUCUCCCCACGCACCAGGGGACCCCAGCCCCUCGUCCAGCCCCUUCCUCUCCCUGAUCCUCUUAAGCUCUUGGCCAGCAGCUCAGUGGGUGCUGUGGGGCAUGCACAUAACCAUAAGGCUAGCUGGCCUUUAUUACUUUUAAUUUUUUGGCUGCAGCAUGCAGCGGCUUGAUGCGGGGUCUCAUUUCCCAGCCCAGGGACUGAACCGGGGCUGCAGCCGUGAAAGCACUGAGUCCUAACCACUAGACCACCAGGGAACUCCCCAUGGCUGGCCUUUACUGACUGCUCACAUCAGCAGGGCGAGGCUUCUGUACAGUCAGUGUUACCUUCACAACACAGAUUAGCUUGUCUUCACACAGUCAUGUGUACUCUUAGGCCUAUUCACAUCCCUCUUUGUAGAGACGAGAAAACCGUGACACAGAGUUAGAGCAGUGGCUCGAACCCAAGUGGUCUGGCUCGAGAGCUUGGGCUCUUCAUCACACCCCUGCACCAUCUCUCUACAAAUGAAAUAGGAGAAGUCACAGAAAGC